rnacentral:rRNA from 1 species
UACGGAGGGUGCAAGCGUUAAUCGGAAUUACUGGGCGUAAAGGGCGCGUAGGCGGCCGUUUGCGUCGGAUGUGAAAGCCCGGGGCUCAACCUCGGAACGGCAUUCGAUACGGGACGGCUGGAGACCGGGAGAGGAGAGUGGAAUAGCCAGUGUAGAGGUGAAAUUCGUAGAUAUUGGCUGGAACACCGGUGGCGAAAGCGGCUCUCUGGCCCGGUUCUGACGCUGAGGCGCGAAAGCGUGGGGAGCAAACAGG